GCCAGCCGCCGCGGUAACACCGGCGGCCCGAGUGGUGAUCGUGAUUAUUGGGUCUAAAGGGUCCGUAGCCGGUUUGGUCAGUCCUCCGGGAAAUCUGAUAGCUCAACUAUUAGGCUUUCGGGGGAUACUGCCAGACUUGGAACCGGGAGAGGUAAGAGGUACUACAGGGGUAGGAGUGAAAUCUUGUAAUCCCUGUGGGACCACCUGUGGCGAAGGCGUCUUACCAGAACGGGUUCGACGGUGAGGGACGAAAGCUGGGGGGCACGAACCGGAUUAGAUACCCGGGUAGUCCCAGCCGUAAACGAUGCUCGCUAGGUGUCAGGCAUGGCGCGACCGUGUCUGGUGCCGCAGGGAAGCCGUGAAGCGAGCCACCUGGGAAGUACGGCCGCAAGGCUGAAACUUAAAGGAAUUGGCGGGGGAGCACAACAACGGGUGGAGCCCUGCGGUUUAAUUGGACUCAACGCCGGACAACUCACCGGGGGCGACAGCAAUAUGUAGGCCAAGCUGAAGACUUUGCCUGAAUCGCUGAGAAGAGGUGCAUGG
rnacentral:rRNA from 1 species